rnacentral:rRNA from 1 species
GGUUAAGCGACUAAGCGUACACGGUGGAUGCCUAGGCAAUCAGAGGCGAUGAAGGACGUGCUAAUCUGCGAAAAGCGUCGGUAAGGUGAUAUGAACCGCUAUAACCGACGAUGUCCGAAUGGGGAAACCCAGUGCAAUUCGUUGCACUAUCGUUUGAUGAAUCCAUAGUCAAACGAGGCGAACCGAGGGAACUGAAACAUCUCAGUACCUCGAGGAAAAGAAAUCAACCGAGAUUCCCCUAGUAGCGGCGAGCGAACGGGGAGCAGCCCAGAGUCUUAAUCAGCAUCAGCAUCAGGAGAACGGUCUGGAAAGUCCGGCAGUAAAGGGUGAUAGCCCCGUAUCCGAAGGUGUUGGUGUUGUGAACUCGACGAGUAGGGCGGGACACGUGUUAUCCUGUCUGAAUAUGGGGGGACCAUCCUCCAAGGCUAAAUACUCCUGAUUGACCGAUAGUGAACCAGUACCGUGAGGGAAAGGCGAAAAGAACCCCGGCGAGGGGAGUGAAAUAGAACCUGAAACCGUGUACGUACAAGCAGUGGGAGCACCUUUUAGGUGUGACUGCGUACCUUUUGUAUAAUGGGUCAGCGACUUAUAUUCUGUAGCAAGGUUAACCGUAUAGGGGAGCCGUAGGGAAACCGAGUCUUAACUGGGCGAUUAAGUUGCAGGGUAUAGACCCGAAACCCGGUGAUCUAGCCAUGGGCAGGUUGAAGGUUGGGUAACACUAACUGGAGGACCGAACCGACUAAUGUUGAAAAAUUAGCGGAUGACUUGUGGCUGGGGGUGAAAGGCCAAUCAAACCGGGAGAUAGCUGGUUCUCCCCGAAAGCUAUUUAGGUAGCGCCUCGUGAACUCAUCUUCGGGGGUAGAGCACUGUUUCGGCUAGGGGGUCAUCCCGACUUACCAACCCGAUGCAAACUACGAAUACCGAAGAAUGUUAUCACGGGAGACACACGGCGGGUGCUAACGUUCGUCGUGAAGAGGGAAACAACCCAGACCGCCAGCUAAGGUCCCAAAGUCAUGGUUAAGUGGGAAACGAAGUGGGAAGGCUCAGACAGCCAGGAUGUUGGCUUAGAAGCAGCCAUCAUUUAAAGAAAGCGUAAUAGCUCACUGGUCGAGUCGGCCUGCGCGGAAGAUGUAACGGGGCUAAACCAUGCACCGAAGCUGCGGCAGCGACAUUUAGAUGUUGUUGGGUAGGGGAGCGUUCUGUAAGCCUGUGAAGGUGUGCUGUGAGGCAUGCUGGAGGUAUCAGAAGUGCGAAUGCUGACAUAAGUAACGAUAAUGCGGGUGAAAAACCCGCACGCCGGAAGACCAAGGGUUCCUGUCCAACGUUAAUCGGGGCAGGGUGAGUCGACCCCUAAGGCGAGGCAGAAAUGCGUAGUCGAUGGGAAACAGGUUAAUAUUCCUGUACUGGUGAUAAUUGCGAUGGGGGGACGGAGAAGGCUAGGCUGGCCGGGCGACGGUUGUCCCGGUUUAAGGAUGUAGGCAGGUGAAUUAGGCAAAUCCGGUUCACUAUAUGCUGAGGUCUGAUGACGAGUCACUACGGUGGCGAAGUAGCUCAUGCCCCGCUUCCAGGAAAAGCCUCUAAGCUCUAGAUUAUCAUUAAUCGUACCCCAAACCGACACAGGUGGUCAGGUAGAGAAUACUCAGGCGCUUGAGAGAACUCGGGUGAAGGAACUAGGCAAAAUGGUGCCGUAACUUCGGGAGAAGGCACGCUGGCGCUAGGUGAAGUCCCUCGCGGAUGGAGCCGAAGCCAGUCGCAGAUACCAGCUGGCUGCAACUGUUUAUUAAAAACACAGCACUGUGCAAACACGAAAGUGGACGUAUACGGUGUGACGCCUGCCCGGUGCUGGAAGGUUAAUUGAUGGGGUUAUCCGUAAGGAGAAGCUCUUGAUCGAAGCCCCAGUAAACGGCGGCCGUAACUAUAACGGUCCUAAGGUAGCGAAAUUCCUUGUCGGGUAAGUUCCGACCUGCACGAAUGGCGUAAUGAUGGCCAGGCUGUCUCCACCCGAGACUCAGUGAAAUUGAACUCGCUGUGAAGAUGCAGUGUACCCGCGGCAAGACGGAAAGACCCCGUGAACCUUUACUAUAGCUUGACACUGAACAUUGAGCCUUGAUGUGUAGGAUAGGUGGGAGGCUUUGAAGUGUGGACGCCAGUCUGCAUGGAGCCAACCUUGAAAUACCACCCUUUAAUGUUUGAUGUUCUAACGUGGCCCCAUCAUCUGGGGUGCGGACAGUGUCUGGUGGGUAGUUUGACUGGGGCGGUCUCCUCCCAAAGAGUAACGGAGGAGCACGAAGGUUGGCUAAGCAUGGUCGGACAUCAUGCGGUUAGUGCAAAGGCAUAAGCCAGCUUGACUGCGAGAGUGACGGCUCGAGCAGGUACGAAAGUAGGUCUUAGUGAUCCGGUGGUUCUGAAUGGAAGGGCCAUCGCUCAACGGAUAAAAGGUACUCCGGGGAUAACAGGCUGAUACCGCCCAAGAGUUCAUAUCGACGGCGGUGUUUGGCACCUCGAUGUCGGCUCAUCACAUCCUGGGGCUGAAGUAGGUCCCAAGGGUAUGGCUGUUCGCCAUUUAAAGUGGUACGCGAGCUGGGUUUAGAACGUCGUGAGACAGUUCGGUCCCUAUCUGCCGUGGGCGUUGGAAGAUUGAAAGGGGCUGCUCCUAGUACGAGAGGACCGGAGUGGACGCACCACUGGUGUUCGGGUUGUCAUGCCAAUGGCACUGCCCGGUAGCUAAGUGCGGAAGAGAUAACCGCUGAAAGCAUCUAAGCGGGAAACUUGCCUUGAGAUGAGUCUUCCCUGACUCUUUAAGGGGCCUAAAGGAACGUUUAAGACUAAGACGUUGAUAGGCUGGGUGUGUAAGCGUAGCGAUACGUUGAGCUAACCAGUACUAAUGAACCGUGAGGCUUAACCUG